UCUAUAUGAAUCAAAUUUCAAGCUUAUUUUUCCUUUCUUUCUUCGUGAAAAGAAUUUCUCUCUUGAUUCCCCUCUAAUUUUCUUUUAUUUUUUCCUAUUUAACAAACCCUAAUCGGGGAACGAUUCGUAUAUUUCUGGUUCGAAAUUCGUGAGGCGAUCGUUUCCAGAUCUUGGAUCAUACUCUCUGCUGUUCAGGAAAAAUUAUGUCUCUUGUACGAUCUUACCAGCCACGAGGUGGCCAGUUUCACAGGCACGGUAGACCAUUCUAUGGUAGAAACAAAAAUACGAGCACGAGAGCAACUGCUGCUGACUACAACUGCAACUAUGAUAACUACGCCCACAAUACGAAGCUUGAUAAAGUUAAUCAUGACUCAUACAAUGACUUCUCUCAAAAUUGUAGGCUGGACGGACCCAAUUAUGACCCUCUUCCUGACAUAGUACCUUCCUCGAAAAGGAGAAAGAUUUCAGCUUUGUCUUUUGAAGGAAAUGAGAGACCUUAUCAACACCAAAACACAUACCAAAAUGAUGUUGUAAAUCACGCUGACCAGUCUAAACCUUCCAAUUGCUACAAUGGUUACUCCAUUGCCUAUCUAGUCCCCAACAGUUCCACUGUUGCUAGGUGCGAAGAUGUCAGUGCUUAUGAUUUGACUAACUCUAAGCGUGACCGGGCGUCAUUUGAGGAUGACGAAGUUGUUCUUAUGUCAAGAGAUGAGAUAGAAAGAUGCUCCCCUUCAAGGAAAGAUGGCAUUGAUCCGCUGCAGGAGGCACAUCUGCGAUACUCAUAUUGUGUCUUCCUUCAGAAUCUUGGCAUUAGGCUUAAUCUACCACAAACCACUAUUGGAACUGCCAUGGUUCUGUGCCAUCGUUUCUUCGUUCGACGGUCUCAUGCCUCUCAUGAUAGAUUUUUGAUCGCUACUGCAGUGCUUUUCCUCGCCUCAAAGUCUGAGGAGACACCACGAGCACUUAACGAUGUGCUAAGAGCAUCAUGUGAAAUUCUCCACAAGCAGGACUUCACACUUCUGUCAUAUAUGUUGCCCAUUGAUUGGCUUGAGCGAUAUCGUGAACGAAUAACUGAUGCUGAGCAAUUGAUCUUAACAACCUUAAAUUUUGAGCUAAAUGUGCAGCAUCCCUAUGAAUCCCUGACAUCCACUCUUCAAAAGUUAGGCUUUUCACAAUCCCUCUUGGUGAAUCUGGCACUGAACUUGGUCAGUGAAGGAUUCUGAGCUUUUGUAUGUCCAAGCGACAAUAGUCAACGCCUGCAAUCAUUGGAGAGGAGGAUGAAAUGAAUGAGAUUUUACUUCAACUAUUGUUCCUUGAUUUCAUCUUAUCCUGGUCUAUAGAGGAUUAGCAUGCUCACCUUAUGAUAUUAAUAGCUGGCGGUGAUGUGCUGUUCGUCGAAUGUUAUGUUUUUCAUCUGAGGUUGAACUAGAGAUAUCUUGUGGAUGCCUUUCCAUGCUGACACCUUAAUGACUUGCUCAAUGGCUAUAGAAGAUAGUUCAUGGAUGAUUUAACUUAUUAUUCCGUUUGAACAUUUGACCUAUGUUCAAACCUGUCGCUCUGUUUACGGAUAAGAAGCCUAUUAUUAGGCGGAAUAACUUCAAAAGAUUUGUCGAGUUAUUUCUGUUGUCAGCUCUGGUACUGACUGUCCUUCAGCUGUACAUGAUGGCCAGACAGGAUUUCACCAAUUACUUCCACAAACCAAUUGCCUUUUAACUGCUACUGGUUUAGUACCUCAGUUUUCACCCUCCUAUUGCCAUCACCCACCAAAGGACAACCUGGUAAUCCUAAUCAUCUGUUGCCUUCCAUUUCUUUCUUUGGCUACUUAUUCUAGCGUCAAAAACUUUAUUUUGAAUUGACUUCUGGUUUAGAUAAUUCUAAACCGACUUUGGCAGAAUACAAGUCCUAUAUAUUUGUAUGGUAUAUCACAGUGCCCAUGUCAUGUACUGAGGACACUCCUAAGAAGUGGCAAUAGUUACUACACUAACAGAAAGGGAGAUUGGGAGGAGGAAGAUCCCCACUUUAUUUUGAAAGUGAACCCGGCGCCUUAUUAUGUUCUUAUACUUGAGCCAAGGUUAUUGACCUUUUCAGAGUAGUCAUCCAGGAGGAUCAUGAUAAGGUCCAAGCUUUCUUUCUUUUUCAUCGUGUUAAAAUCAAUGAGGGGCCAAGGAGGAAUGAUACUCAUGUCUUCUGUAGUGCUGGAAACAAGCAUCUGCUGAUACUAAUAUGCCAUCCUAUAUAGGCAUUGUCUUCCCAUAUGUGGUUUGUAUGGUAAAUCACUUGCAGAGCCUGGUGUAUAUAAAGUAACAAAUCUUAGCUGAUAGAAAUAGUUCUAGAGUCCUCUCUUCUCAAUAGAAGAAAUAAAAAAUAAGAGGAGGAGGAAGAAUGAAAACAGAGUAAAAAAGAGAACAAGCCAUGUUUCAACAUUUCUAGCCUUCUUUUUGGGUCUAGUACUUUUCAAUUCUUCAAUUUUAUAUUUAAUCUUGUCAUAGCAUGCUGACAAGUUCUUAGUGUCUGUUUUAUUAGUUCAUCUUGAGUUCAGUUAGUUUUAUAGGAAGAAUGUGCUUUAUUGUUUACCAAUUCACUCCUAUGGUACAAUAAUCUUCUGUUAGAUUAUCUUCUACUUACUGUACUGUAGUCACAUUCUAGGUGGAAAUAGUUUGAUUAAAAAUAGUUCCAUGAAGUGCUUAGAGUUGGUUGCUGCACAGAAGUUGUUGAUGGCAGAACUCAUAAAGUUAUUUAACAAGUAAUGUUUGUCUAUCAAUGGGUUGCCUGUAUGCUUGAAAUUUGUUACUUAUAAUAUGUAAUACGUUUAGACUUUAUCAUCACGUUUAUUGGGUGUUGGUCAAAUCUCCUCCAAGCUAUGGCUACUUUUUUCAUGUGGAAGUAGGGGUAAUAGAAGUGUUUUUCUUUCUAUAAAGAAAACUAAUUUUAAUGCUUAAUAGUUGAGUAUUAUUUGGUAUUAUGAUAUAUGAUUUAUAAAGAUGUAUGUGGGGUAUUCAGAAAUCUCCUUAUUUAACAAUUGUUAUUUUUUUUUAUUUUGUCAAAAAAAAAUCUUUUGAGCAUUACUAAACACAUUUAGUAGAUCAUGGCCUGUUGAUUCUUACGCUUAUUGGAUUUAUUGGUAUUCAAGAUGUUGUUAUUGAAUUAGCGUUAUUUCUUUAAAAUGGUUUCUUGCGAACCAUUUUUAUCCAUUGACCCAUUUUUUUUGGAUAAAUAAUAUUUUAUUUGGUUAGCUAUGUUUUUUCGUAUACUGGAGGAGCCAUCUUGUAAUAAACCAUACUUGCUUUUAUAUCUAGAAUGUGCCAAUGUGGAAUGUUAGCCUAUAGCCUAAGGUGGAUUCAAGAGAAUUGCAACACGAUUUUUGCAUUUUUCCCCUAGUUAGCAGUUAUUUACCUCAUUACAUAAUAUUUAGAAGAAAUGAGCUAUUAAAUAUGCAUUUUGUCAUGAUAAUUAAUGUUAAAAAGCUACUUGAUAUUGAUUCAUGGUCGUUCUGAUGUAUAGAAGUUUGUGCUUGCAAGUGUAAUUAGUUGGAGACUAUUUUUACUUAUAUGCUUCUGGUUCUGGGAACCUGAAUCGAGCUUUAUACAUUUAUUGCGUCAGAUGCAUACAUCAAUCGUUGAGCAGAUGAAUUUGCGAAUUUUGGGAAAAGAGGAACUAUGACCUAUCAUAUUCAUAGCAGAGUUUUGUUUGUGCAUGUUUUCUACUUGGUUUUAGAUUUCAGAUGGCACUCUGGGACUUGGUUCUUUUAGCUCAAGUCAAGUCCUCAAGUUCUUUUGUUCACGGGCAAUAAAUUGUCCAUGUUAUUAGUUGUUUUCUAAGAAAGGAAGAACUAUUUGGGGGAAAAAAAAGUUAACUAAAUAUUUUUGUUUUUCUAAUACAGGAUGUAGAAUACUAUUUUGGUAUUAUUUCAUUUUCUUUUCUACUUAAGGAAUCAUUCAUUUUUUAUGGGGUGUCUUUGACCUCCAAUGAUUUCGUCUCUUUCUUUUCACUGUACGAGGGUGUUAUAUACACAAUUAUGCUGAAUAUUAUGUCACUUCAACACCUUAGCCUUGGAAUAAAGGUAUGAGUUUGUGGUGGAUUCAACAAGAGCAGAGAAUAUGUUACUGUAAUUCAUCGUAAGAUGUUGUUCACCACUGAAACUAAUUCGAAGUUGUAUACUUUGUG